GGGCGCGUAGCUCAGGGGUAGAGCGCCUGCCUUACAAGCAGGAUGUCGGCGGUUCGAAACCGUCCGCGCCCACC
rnacentral:tRNA from 1 species